CGGAUUUCUUCGGAUUGAAGCAAUUGUGACUGAGCGGCGGACGGGUGAGUAACGCGUGGGUAACCUGCCUCAUACAGGGGGAUAACAGUUGGAAACGGCUGCUAAUACCGCAUAAGCGCACAGUACCGCAUGGUACCGUGUGAAAAACUCCGGUGGUAUGAGAUGGACCCGCGUCUGAUUAGCUAGUUGGUGGGGUAACGGCCUACCAAGGCGACGAUCAGUAGCCGACCUGAGAGGGUGACCGGCCACAUUGGGACUGAGACACGGCCCAAACUCCUACGGGAGGCAGCAGUGGGGAAUAUUGCACAAUGGGGGAAACCCUGAUGCAGCGACGCCGCGUGAGCGAUGAAGUAUUUCGGUAUGUAAAGCUCUAUCAGCAGGGAAGAAAAUGACGGUACCUGACUAAGAAGCCCUGGCUAACUACGUGCCAGCAGCCGCGGUAAUACGUAGGGGGCAAGCGUUAUCCGGAUUUACUGGGUGUAAAGGGAGCGUAGACGGCAUGGCAAGCCAGAUGUGAAAGCCCGGGGCUCAACCCCGGGACUGCAUUUGGAACUGUCAGGCUAGAGUGUCGGAGAGGAAAGCGGAAUUCCUAGUGUAGCGGUGAAAUGCGUAGAUAUUAGGAGGAACACCAGUGGCGAAGGCGGCUUUCUGGACGAUGACUGACGUUGAGGCUCGAAAGCGUGGGG
rnacentral:rRNA from 1 species